rnacentral:rRNA from 1 species
AUGCCGACCCGGAUGGCGAGCUUUGAUCUCUUCCGGCUGCGGCCAUUGGCGGAGCUCUUGCCGGAGGUGGAGAGCCCCACGGAAGGCGUUCCUUUCCGGCGGAAGGCGGCGUACACGGCCGGGUCGCUACUCGUCGUCCUGGCGGGCACCCAGCUCCCGCUGUACGGGAUCGACACCAGCACGGCCCCGCACGACCCGCUCUACUGGUUCCACACGGCCUACGCGGCCAACUGCGGAACCGUCAUGGCCUUCGGCGUGUUCCCGCUCCUGGUGUCCGAGGCGGCCUCUCAUCUCCUCAUGGGAUUAAGGGUCGUCAACCCCAUCCCUGAAAACCGCGUUCUCCUGAACGGGCUGCAGAAGGUGCUGGGGGUACUGAUCCACUACUAG